CAGUCGCCGCGGUAAUACGAAGGGUGCAAGCGUUACUCGGAAUUACUGGGCGUAAAGCGUGCGUAGGUGGUGGUUUAAGUCCGUUGUGAAAGCCCUGGGCUCAACCUGGGAAUUGCAGUGGAUACUGGGUCACUAGAGUGUGGUAGAGGAUAGUGGAAUUUCCGGUGUAGCAGUAAAAUGCGUAGAGAUCGGAAGGAACAUCUGUGGCGAAGGCGACUAUCUGGGCCAACACUGACACUGAGGCACGAAAGCGUGGGGAGCAAACAGGAUUAGAUACCCCAGUAGUCCCUGUCUCUUAUAC
rnacentral:rRNA from 1 species